rnacentral:rRNA from 1 species
AGCCGAUGAAGGACGUUACUAACGACGAUAUGCUUUGGGUAGCUGUAAGUAAGCGUUGAUCCAGAGAUUUCCGAAUGGGGGAACCCAGCAUGAGUUAUGUCAUGUUAUCGACAUGUGAAUUUAUAGCAUGUCAGAAGGCAGACCCGGAGAACUGAAACAUCUUAGUACCCGGAGGAAGAGAAAGAAAAAUCGAUUCCCUGAGUAGCGGCGAGCGAAACGGGAAGAGCCCAAAC